CAGCUGCCCCCUGCCCUCCCUUGGCUACUCAUGGGGACAGGUAAGUCCCGCCCCGAUCACAAGACAUGGCGCGCGCACACCAUUUGAACAGCAAUGAAUGACCAGCAACUUUUUUUGGCGGGCGGCCCCCUCAAAUAUUUUACUGGGGGCCGCAAAUAUUUUACCGGCCCCAGGAAUUGGCUCCUACUCUGCAGAGCGUCCCUCCCAGCACCAUGAUGAAAGUGUCCCUGAGCACGUGCAGAGUAAAUUUCCAUUCCAUAAAUGAAAGGAGACGCCACUCUGGAGAUUUGUUAAUUUUAUUUAUUCAAUUACGUGUAUACCCCGGUUGAUUGUAGAAAACCUCAAAGCUGUUUGCAAAAAGAAUAAAGCAGUAAGAUUAUUAGUAAAAACCAUUUUUUAAAAACUAAAAGCCAGCGAGGAACAAAAUCUGCUGAGAACAUUACGGGGCCCCAGGGAGCCCUCGGCUUCUAAUAAGGAAGGUCUUCAUUUCUGAUGGCUCCUCUGAAAGUGGGAACAGAUGGGAUCCUGGAAUGGGGGGGAUACAUGCGCCCACCACCAACUCCGGGGAAUAAAGGGGCGCAUUAGACCGACCGGCAGCAUCGCUUCCAGCAGGACUUCAAAACGCCUGCAAGUUCAUUGCUUCACACUGGGGGCGAAGCAGGCCCAGACAGGGGGGGGGCAUAUGGGCCACUUGGCUGGGGCCCCCGAUUCCAAAGGGGGCCUCGGUCAGCAUAUUUAUCUAUAUUUUCCAUUUUGUCUUUAUAUGCAGAUACGGUUCAAGCCUUGAAAUAAAAUUAUUUGUCAGCAUACCUGGCCCGGGCCUCUGCCUGGCUCUGCAAGGCUCUGGGGCGAAGCCUCGCAUUUGAACCACCACCAGCAGGAAUUAUGAUCUGAAAUCCCUCCACAGAAGACAGGGAGGGAGGGAGGGAGGGAUAUAAGGUGAUUCACUAGGUGUGUGCCCAGUGUUAACCUUUUCCUUCCAGCCUUAACAUCACCAUCAGCCUUCGAGGUUAGAGCAUCAGGAUCGCACCAGUCAGUCGGCUCACUGGGGCCGUUGCGCGUUGCUCGCCACCGACUGCAACGAGGCCUAUUCAGUAGAGUCUGAUAACAUUCUCACAGCCUUCCCCACGUACCACUCCGUACAUAGCAACAGGCACAUUAGCUGGGGGUGGAGAGAAGAUUGGGGAACUGCCUUUCGCCAGCAGCAACAGAGACCUCUGCCUGGCCGCUGAGAAGCAACAAAUGCAGCAUGAAACUAAAGCAAUUCUUCGAGUCUCUGGAUCGUGCGGGAAACACUUAUUGCAUGAAUAAAAAACGUGUUUGGGCUCCUUUAAUAUCUUUGGAAAGUUGCAUUUUUGUGCCUCCCACCCCCCCAUAUCUUAAUUUCGACGGAGCCUCAGCUUCAGGAUCUGUCCUUCCAGUGAGCACUCAGG